CAGAGAACUGCUUCUAUCCCAUGUGGUAGCCCUUUCAAGAUACAGAUGUUACAACUGCAUAAGUGCAGUGUUGAGAGAUCUUUUUUUGCUACAAUGACCAACUGUGUGUCUGAGAAUAAAGUCAAUCUAGAAAGAGCGGAGCCAAAAAUAGAGAAAGUGAAAAGCCCAACAGUGAAUCCUGAAGUUAUCAUGGACAUUUAUAGCAGUAUUAAUUAUUUUGGAGCAAACUCUGAUGGAGCUGUAUAUGAGUCAGCAAUUGCCAUGAAAACACUGCAAAACAAACCACCCCAAAAUUCCCUGAACAGAAGUUUGGGAGAGGACGAACACAAGCCUCGCCUUUUGGCGCUACCCUAAGACUAAGCCUUGCUGAGUUUUCCAAGAAGACUGAGAACAAGUAGAUUAUGUACUGACCUUCACCUAGGCUAGACUAUUGACCAGUAGAACUGAGGGGGGGAUAACGUGUUUCCUUAAGCAUGUUUCAACCCUCUUUGAUGAGACUCUGUGCUCUGUGGUUUCCCCUCUGAAAUCUGUCCUCCUACUGCUGCCUACUCUUACAUACCUGGCCCCUCCCAUUGGAAAUAAAUCAUCCCAUACCCUUAAUCAAGAGGUUGAAUAUUCUUCCACAUUCUUUAUUUAAGGCCAGGCCCUCCAAGGAGCUCAGGCCCCCCGCAGCCUCUGUCAUAUAGAAGUUUUUUUGUCCGUCCUAUCCCCUUAGCUCAGUAGCUCAGAACACCUUGUCAUUUAGCUAUUCUACCCUCUUCAACUCUGUCAUCUACAGACUCCUGAUUAUUUCCCCACAUUUACUAAGAGGUGACCCCUGGAAUAUGAUUCCUCUUUGUUCUCUAUCCCUACAUCAGCCUGAGUGACAUCCAGCUAUAGACGACAUCUAAUAUGCUGGUCUUUUCACUUAUUUAUUUAUUUUUACAUCCUCAACUCCUUAAUUCUUCUAAUUUAGCAGCACAAUCCCAUGCAACUUAACUUCUCAAAUCUUAUACUCCAGUACUACUCCUCGACCAAACCUCCUAGGCUUUCAGCUCUUUUACUCUCAUGUGCUCACAUGCCUUUCCCUGAACCAUCAGUCCCUGCACCACUGUGCACUCUCUCAAUCUGAUAGCUCUCUUCUGUCCUUUCCUACUCAGCCCAGACCCCCAGCCCACCACUACAACCAUUCUCCCAUCAUUAUCACAAGGGUUCUGCCCUCAAAGCCAUCUCAUUGAAACCUCAUGUCUGCGUCAAAACUUUGGAUUCUCAGAGACACACUGUAGAAAAAUCAUACAACUUUGCUGUUUGUUGUCAUUAUAAAGUCAUGGUCCCUCUUCCCUGAAGAGGCCCUGAAUCCUCUGCCUUAAUCCUAUAUAGCCCUUGUCUAAUUUGUCUCUGUUAUCUAUGCAAUUUUUGGUUUCAAGUCUCAGAACCCUCAACUGCUUCCAACUCAAUUAAAAAAAAUCUGAGCUAAGAAUUAUUUCAAACCUCCACCUGUAACAACUUUUCCUUCUCACCUUAGUGAAAUGGGUUUCCUCGUGUUCAGAUCUAACCUUUCCAUCUGUCUCCACUUCCCUGUCCUUUCAUACUUCCUUGGGAAUCUCACAUUUGCAACCAUCUUUUAUUACUAUUAUUCUCUCCUUCUCUCUAUGUAUGGGCUUUCCCAAUAUAAUCAGGUCCAGUGUCCUUAUUCUUAAAGUGAAAAUCACUUUACAUAACUCUACAUUCUCUUUGAACCCAUUUCUCCCUUCCUUACAAGGUAAAUGUUUUUU